rnacentral:rRNA from 1 species
UACGGGGGGAGCAAGCGUUGUUCGGAUUUACUGGGCGUAAAGGGCGCGUAGGCGGCCACCGCAAGUCGGUUGUGAAAUCUCUGGGCUUAACCCAGAAAGGUCAACCGAUACUGCGGGGCUAGAGUGCAGAAGGGGCAACUGGAAUUCUCGGUGUAGCGGCGAAAUGCGUAGAUAUCGAGAGGAACACCUGCGGCGAAGGCGGGUUGCUGGGCUGACACUGACGCUGAAGCGCGAAAGCUAGGGGAGCGAACGGG